CCUACGGGGGGCAGCAGUGAGGAAUAUUGGUCAAUGGACGAGAGUCUGAACCAGCCAAGUAGCGUGAAGGAUGACUGCCCUAUGGGUUGUAAACUUCUUUUAUAUGGGAAUAAAAUGUUCCACGUGUGGGAUUUUGUAUGUACCAUAUGAAUAAGGAUCGGCUAACUCCGUGCCAGCAGCCGCGGUAAUACGGAGGAUCCGAGCGUUAUCCGGAUUUAUUGGGUUUAAAGGGAGCGUAGGUGGAUUGUUAAGUCAGUUGUGAAAGUUUGCGGCUCAACCGUAAAAUUGCAGUUGAAACUGGCAGUCUUGAGUACAGUAGAGGUGGGCGGAAUUCGUGGUGUAGCGGUGAAAUGUUUAGAUAUCACGAAGAACUCCGAUUGCGAAGGCAGUUCACUGGACUGCAACUGACACUGAGGCUCGAAAGUGUGGGUAUCAAACAGGAUUAGAUACCCCAGUAGUC
rnacentral:rRNA from 1 species